UAGAUGAAAUGAACAAAUUAUUUCAAAGAAACCUACUGGCCAGGCACAGUGGCUCACACCUGUAAUCCCAGCACAUUAGGAGGCUAAGGAGAGCAGAUCACUUGAGCUAAGGAGUUCAAGACCAGCCUGGCCAAAAUAGGGAGACUCCAUCACUACAAAAAUUUAUUUAAGAGAUUAGCUGAGCAAGCCGGGCGCGGUGACUCACGCCUGUAAUCCCAGCACUUUGGGAGGCAGAAGCAGGCGGAUCACGAGGUCAUGAGAUCAAGACCACCCUGGCUAAAACGGUGAAACCCCAGACUCUACUAAAAAAUACAAAAAAAUUAGCCAGGCGUGGCAGCGGGCGCCUGUAGUCCCAGAUGGUGGCGGGCGCCUGUAGUCUCAGCCUUCGGAGGCUGAGGCAAGAGAAUGACGUGAACCGGGAGGCGGAGCUUGCAGUGAGACGAGUUUGCGCCACUGCAUUCCAGCCUGGGCAACAGAGCAAGACUCUGUCUCAAACAAACAAACAAACAAAGAAAUUAGCUGGGCAUGGUGGUGCACGUCUAUAGUCCCAGCUACUCUGGAGGCUGAGGUGGGAGGGCCUGCUUGAGCACAGUAGGUGGAGGCUGCAGUGAGCUGUGAUUGCGUCACAGCCUCAACAACAGAGGGACACCUUGUCUCAAACAGAAAAAAAAAAAAAAGGUUUCCAGAUUGUGAAGAAAGAAAUAAGGCCAUUUCUAUUGUAGAAAAUCCUCUAAUGUAAUUGACCAAAAAGCUACUAGAACUAGUAAGUGAACUUAGUAAGCUUAGUAAGGUUGUAGGAUGCAAUAUCAAUAUCCAAAAAUUAAUUAUAUUUCUAUAUAUUAGCAAUGAACAAUGGGAAAUUCAAAUUAAAGACAAUAUUUUUGCAAUAAGAUAAGAAAUAUGAAAUAUUUAGAGAUGAAUCUGGUUAAAAAUGUGAAAAAUCUGUACACUGUAAACUACAAAAUGUUAUUGACAGAAAUUUAAAAAGAUCUAAAUAGAUGGAGAGAUACACUGUGUUCAUGGAUUAAGACUCAAUACUUUUAAAUAUUAGUUCUCCCUAAAUUGAUCUAGAGGUUCAAAACAGUCCCAAUCCAACUCUCAGCAGAGGUUUCAAAUAGAAAUUGGUAAGCUGAUUCUGAAAUUCAUAUAGAAAUUUAAAGGACCUAAAAUAGUAAAAACAAUUAAAAAAUGUUGGAGGGCUAAGACUACUUGAUUUCAAGAUAUAAAGCUACAGUAAUCAAAAGCGUGUGGCAUUGGUGUAAAGACAAAUAGAUUGAUAUGACAAAAUAUAGACAGAAAUAGACCCACAUAUAUAGGGACAAUUGAUUUUUUACAAAGUGCAAAUGCAACUCAAUGGAGAAAAUAUCAUCUUUUCAACAAAUGGUACUGAAACAUUUUAAUAUCUAUACACAAAAAAUUUUAUCCUUACUUUACUCAAUAUACAAAAGUUAACUCCAAAUGUGUCACAGACCUAGUCUAAACUACAGUCCUAAAACUAAAAUUUCCAGAGGAAAACUUUAGAGAAAAUCUGUUUUGAACUUGGGUUAGACAAGUAUUUCUUAGAUAUAGUAACAAAAGCACACCUAUGAAAGAAGAAAUUAAUGCCAUUAGCCGUUAACAAAAUGCAAAUUAAAACCAUAAUGAGAUGUCACUGCAUACCUAUUACAGUAACUAAAACUAAAAAGACUGAUUAUUCCACAUGUUGACUAGGAUGUGGAAAAUCUCUAAUUACUGUACACUGCUGAUAGGAAUGUAAAAUGGUACAACCACUUUGAAAAACAAUUUGGCAAUUUCUUCAAAAGUUUAAUGUAUACUUGUUAGAAGAUUCAGCCAUUCUACUCCUAGGUGUUUAUCCAAGAGAUGUGAAAACAUACAUCCAUUCAAAGACUUGUACGUGGAUAGUCAUAACAACUUUAUUUGUAACAGCCACAAACUGAAAACAACUCAAAUGCCCAUUCACAGGUGAAUCGAUAAAUUCUGGAACAGUCACACAAUGAAAUACUAUUCAGCAAGAAAAAGGAAUGAACUUUUGUUACACGCAACAGUAUGGAUGAAUCUCAAAAUAAUUAUGUUCAGUAAAAGAAACCAGACAAGAUGACUAAGUACUGCAUAAUUCCAGUUAUAUGAACGUUUUAAAGAUGCAGACUAAUCUACAAUGACAUAAAGCAGGUCAGAGGUUUUCUGAGGAUGAGUCGGGCAGGAGGGGGGCACUACAAAGGGGCAGGAGGAAACUUUUAGGGGUGAUGAAUAUGUUCACUAUCUUGACAGUGGUGAUAGUUUUGUGAGUAUAUACUUAUGGCAAUAAUUAUGAAAUGAUAUACUUUGCUUUCUUC
rnacentral:lncRNA from 1 species